ACCUCGGUAGCCAAGUUGGUUUAAGGCGCAAGACUGUAAUUUAUCACUACGAAAUCUUGAGAUCGGGCGUUCGACUCGCCCCCGGGAGA
rnacentral:tRNA from 1 species